rnacentral:lncRNA from 1 species
GACAUUGUAGUAACAGAAUUAUGCAUAUCCAACUCACACGCUUUCUGGAAAUAAAUAACUAAGCAUAGGACACAUUCAGGUGUAUUCAUUCUCUACAACAACUUGUUAAGCAUUCAUGCAGCAAAGUCAUUAAAAAAAUCAUUAAGGAGGAAAACCUUGAAGCUUCAACAAAAUUCCCAUGCCUUUCUUCUCUCUUUCACAUGACAAUUCCAGUGGUAUAGGAAUCUCAUAUCUGCAAACCAUCAAUCAAAGAAAUGAUGACACCAACGCCCACUGCAGUUACUAAAGAAUACUUUUAUGUUUUCUUUUUCUGAACCGUUUACUGAUUGAAGGGCAUAGGGCAUAUAAUUAAGAUUCACUAGCAAUAGCACAGAGGGAGAGGGUGGGGGAGGGGGGGGGGGGCGGGGGGGAGGGCGGGCAGGAGGGGGAGGAGCAAAACAUCCAUUGUUGACAUAUAUUACCAUUAUCUUGCCCAACAACAUUUAGGUUGCAAAGAGUUCAAUUAAACCUNAACAUUUAGGUUGCAAAGAGUUUCAAUUAAACCUAGCCCUGACAAAAAUUUACAGCUUUCUCCAUAUAUUGAUGAUACCAUCAGCAAAUGACUUAAGGUUCCCCCAAAGAGUUGACUUCUUUGAAAAUUCUGCAUCAUCACUCUGCUCACUCAAGAAGUUCCUAGAUAAUAGAAUAUUUCAUAUCACCCACUGCGACUCAUAAAUAGUUAAAUGGCAAGAGAAUUUUCAUAAUUAACAGAAAUACAAAAAGGAAAAAAAUGAAUUAAAAAUCAUUCAAAUGGAAAAAGGAAAUGCUGUAUAUAAUGGAUCUAGA